rnacentral:lncRNA from 1 species
GAAAUUUGCACAAGGACCUUUGCUGACUUCAGUCACACCCUUGUGCACCCGCAGCCUCUGCCAUUCUGCUCUGCCAGCACUGGGGCAGCUCCAGCACUGGCCUGCAGGGAUGAACAGAAAUCUAACAAGGGAGAUCAGACUGAACAUCUCAGACCUUCACCGCAUACUCCAUGUUGGUUGUUUUGUGAAUGCACCGUUUGCACACCGAGUAGGAGCCCACACCAAUCGCCUCCUUCACCACGUAGCCGUCGCUGAACUGGAUGUUCUUGCCAUGCAGCUGCUGCAACAAGAGAGCAGGCAGCAAAUGAGCUGGGAGGGUUCAGGGAACGGUUUGUGCAAUGUGAUGAGUUAACUGCAACGCCAAGUGAAGUGACAGACUGCUGUCUACUACAUCCCACAGCCUCUCCUCCCUGCUGGGGAGAGAGAGGAGAGGAGAACAUGACAAAUAUAGGUCAGUAGGCUAACACUAUCUGCAUCCAGCACGCUGCAUUCCUGCAGCACCUCUCAUUCAAACAGCCUGAGUCCACCUGGCAAGGAGGCAAACAGUGUGCCCUGCUGACCUCUGCACGUGACAGUCCGUAGAAACAAAAGAACAUCAGGAUGCAAGAAUUCAAACCAGAAUAUCUUUCCUUUAGCUCCUGCAGACCCACUCUGGAUUUACUGCAGUCUCAGAGCAGCUGUCCUUUUGUCCCCAUGUCUCACCUGCACCACAGAAUGCAGAGGGGGCUGUGCAGGUUUCACCUUACUGUCUUCCAUCAGUCCAGUGGCCACAAAGCUGAAGCCGCGGAAGAGCUGAUGUGCACCUGCACUGGGAGGGAUGCCUGGGGAAUCUGCAACAGGAGUUGAAGGAAAACUUGAAAAGGAAUAGCAGUGGAAGCAGAAGCCUGCCCUUCGUGGCUCUGGCUCAGACAAGAGCAAUAUCAUGCAGCACCAAGCUACCAGUAACACCCUGCAUAUGGCUGGCACUCCUCCCUGCAGCAGCUAGGAGUGGACAAACCUUGCCCUGACGGCACAGGCAAGCCAGGAUUAAACUGUAUUAUUUCACACAGGCUUCAGCUGAAUUCAUAUAUUCAUACCAACCUUUUGGUGUACGCGAUGUAAAUUCUGUAUCAAAAUAAAAGGUGUCAUCAGGCUGGCCUACAGCAGGCUUGAAGGGUGG